rnacentral:rRNA from 1 species
GAUGAACGCUGGCGGCGUGCCUAACACAUGCAAGUCGAGCGAUUCACUUCGGUGAAGAGCGGCGGACGGGUGAGUAACGCGUGGGUAACCUGCCUCAUACACAUGGAUAACAUACCGAAAGGUAUGCUAAUACAGGAUAAUAUGAGAGAUUCGCAUGGAUUUCUUAUUAAAGCUUCGGCGGUAUGAGAUGGACCCGCGUCUGAUUAGCUAGUUGGUAAGGUAAUGGCUUACCAAGGCGACGAUCAGUAGCCGACCUGAGAGGGUGAUCGGCCACAUUGGAACUGAGACACGGUCCAAACUCCUACGGGAGGCAGCAGUGGGGAAUAUUGCACAAUGGGCGAAAGCCUGAUGCAGCAACGCCGCGUGAGUGAUGAAGGCCUUCGGGUCGUAAAACUCUGUCCUCAAGGAAGAUAAUGACGGUACUUGAGGAGGAAGCCCCGGCUAACUACGUGCCAGCCGCCGCCGUAAAAC